AAAAUGCGAAACGUAGUGCGAUUUGCAUGAACCUGUGAGUCACCGAGUCUUUGAACGCAACUUGCGCUCUCCGGAGCAUGUUCCCUUGAGCCGGGCAAACAUCUUGAUCUGAGAUUAACGUCUUGGAUUGUGCUGGGACACGAGCGCGUCUCUGUCCUGAAAAGUGUGCCCGUCAGCGACUGAGCCAGAGGAUUGGUGGUGUUGGUUUUAGGCCUCGGUCUCUAACCUGUUGGUUUUAGACCUCGGUCUCUAACCCUCGACCUAACGUUCUUUCAGUCAAAUGACACUCAUCCACCCGCUCAAGUGGAGCAGGACCACCCGCUGGACUUAA
rnacentral:misc_RNA from 1 species